rnacentral:rRNA from 1 species
AUUGAACGCUGGCGGCAGGCCUAACACAUGCAAGUCGAGCGGAUGAAGGGAGCUUGCUCCUGGAUUCAGCGGCGGACGGGUGAGUAAUGCCUAGGAAUCUGCCUGGUAGUGGGGGAUAACGUCCGGAAACGGGCGCUAAUACCGCAUACGUCCUGAGGGAGAAAGUGGGGGAUCUUCGGACCUCACGCUAUCAGAUGAGCCUAGGUCGGAUUAGCUAGUUGGUGGGGUAAAGGCCUACCAAGGCGACGAUCCGUAACUGGUCCGAGAGGAUGAUCAGUCACACUGGAACUGAGACACGGUCCAGACUCCUACGGGAGGCAGCAGUGGGGAAUAUUGGACAAUGGGCGAAAGCCUGAUCCAGCCAUGCCGCGUGCGUGAAGAAGGUCUUCGGAUUGUAAAGCACUUUAAGUUGGGAGGAAGGGCAGUAAGUUAAUACCUUGCUGUUUUGACGUUACCAACAGAAUAAGCACCGGCUAACUUCGUG